GCUGGCACAGGACAGGAGCAGAGCGGCCGAGCACCUGCGCCGGGCCCUGCGCUACCUGGAGAGCCCACAGGAGCCCCUGCGAGAGGCGGCCGUCAGGUUCAUGGGGUCCGCCCAGGUACUCAUGAGGGGCCAGAAGGAAGAGCUCGAGGUCCUCAAUGAGGCCAUUCACACCCAGAAGAAAGGCAGUUUGUCCCACUGUAGCAGGAAUAUUCAAGCCCAGUUUACCAGCAGAGCUGAAGAAUUAACUUCAUCUUAAGGAUCCAGUGAAUCAGUGACGUAAGAACAGCACCAGAAGACACUGAAGAGGACGCCAUCUCCCAUUGCCACUGGAGUUCCAGACACAGCUGAUGAUUGGCACAGCUGAGCUUGUUGGACGCUUGUGUGGCUUCAGCCCUCCCCCUGCCUGUAGAUAGCUACCUCCCUCCAGCUCUCACACCGUGUCCAUCCCCUUUGGUUCCA